GUAUUAAUUAAUAUUAAGCAACAAAAUUGUAUAGGACAUCAACAUUAAUGGUUUAAAUAAGUGUGAAGAUCAAUUAACAGCUUGACUGCAUGUAAAAAAUCAUUCAACUUCAACUACAAGAAAAUGGAUUUUGGUAUUUUUUGAUGAGAAAUUUUGAACUUGCCUCUGUGAUCAGUUUAUUGAAAUGAGUUAAAAAAAACAUGCAGAAAUAAUGUUUUUCAUGACAAAUACUGAUUUCAGCUCUUGAACAAAUGGUAAAGCUUUUUAGUGUUGGUUUAACUCCAAACAAUCCAAUGUUUUCAAAUAUUUGAGCAAACUUUGAAUAUAUUCUUGCAUUUUUUGAGAACAAACAAUAGAAAGUAAUUUAUCAAUGAUUUUUUUGUAUUAUCAUGUUGCAUAAUUUAAAUUACACGAUAAACUAACAUCAAUCCACAAAAAGUCUUCUAUUUUUCACAUUUAACCCUCUAACACCUGUAGUUGCACCAGUGCUCCAUAAUUCUUUUACUUCAAAUUGUAAUUUCUUUAGUACUAGGUAUUCAACCAAUUGAAUUAAUUCUUUUUGCACAAAUUCGAUUUUCAUCUCAUUUGAUCAUGGUUUACAAAAACGUAAAAAAAUCUCAAUUUAAAUUUGGAGGUAAAGAGUUAAUAUUGUUUUGAUUAAAUUACAUCAAUCUGUUGAAAAUUAAUACCGUAAAACGGGGUGACUUUGAUAGCCGGAGUGACUUUGAUAGGUUUGCGAUUUUUCCACAAAAUGAACAGUUCAAUUAAAAUACGUACGGAAUGGUUUACAAUCAUACUAACCGUGGUAGAGAAGUGUUCAAUAUACCUCAAAAAGAACUUUUCAUAAAAUUUUGAAAAGUUCAAAAAGUUAGUUUACUAUAGUUAUGAAAAUAUUGAUGAAAGUAAUUAUUUUAAACUUCCCAAAGUGUCAUAAUUUUCUCAAUGAACAUGAUUUUGAAUCGGAAAACGGAAUGCAUUUUCGAAUUCUUUGGACAAUUUUCCACUAGGAGAAGGAUUAAUAAGUUUGUAAAUUAGUGAUGGUACAUUUAACGUACAAAUAAAAUUUGAACAUCUUAAAUAUGAGUUUAACAUGGAAAAUUAUGACUAUCAAAGUCAUCCCGAAAUAUAAACUAAGAAUUUUUAACGUAACUAUUUUUCUAAACAUUAUGAAAUUUUUUUCCGAAAUAGUGCAUGGACUUUGUGUGGCCUACCCCAGCCUACAACCUUACCUAUUGAAAAAUAUUCCAAAAACAAAUUGAAAUCCUAUCAAAGUCACCCCGGUUUACGGUAAUAACUUAAUUUGUAAUAGUUUAAUACUCAUUAAACUAGAUCUAUUCCCAGUUUCCUUAAAAAAUUGAAAUAAAUCUGAUGUCAUGAUUUCUGAUAACCUGAUUGAUUAUAUAUAAACCAAACAAUACAUUUAAUUUCACAAAAUUUAGUUUGUUCAUUUAUUAUUUUUUCAGAGCAUUUUCAAAAAAAAGUUCAAAAAAUUUAAGAAAUGUAUACUUCCGCUUGAAUUUCGGGAAUUCCCGGGAAAUUUAAAAAUUUCCCGGGAAACGGGAAAUAUUUUUAUUCGGGAAAUCCCGGGAAUUUGAAACUAAUGGCUUGAUCAGUUGUCAAGGAGGGCUAACUCAUUCCAUUUUUUCAGGGCAGAGACCAUUAAUUAAAAGGUAGUCGUAGACCUGAGCUACUGACUACUCAUCAUCUCAGGGUCGGCAUUACUACUAAGCGAUUCAAGAGAGACUCGGAAAGGAAAUAAAAAUCAAGAACCACACUUUUCAACUUCAAAUCAUGUAUUUUUCUGUAUCGUGUAAAGUGUGUGUGUGUUUUUGGGGAGAGCACUUCAGGGACUAAACGUACCGUUUUUACCAGCAGCAGUUCUCCGGGAUUGAACGCCUUCGGCGUUCUCCUCUGCGUUGGCCGGUCACAGGAGCGCCCUCGACUGUGCCGCCGGAAGUCCCGUGGGGGGGGGGGGGUCGUCGUUGCAGCCGAAUAACGGUUGACGGCUGUUGUUGUUGCUGCGCUGGAAACCGCGAGGCAAGGUCGAGCGGGCGUUGCCGAUCCUUCCUGCGGCAGGCGUCUUCCCUCGUUGUCGGAAUCGGCGGACCUGGCUACUGCCAAUCCGGUCGCGCCGAGAGGGGGAAUCUCCUUUGCGUUUAUGGCGCCGCGCGCCAGAGAUUGUCGUGGUCCUUGACGGGAAACGUAGCCAAUGGCACUCUGCACUUACAGGGCUAGGUUGACCAAACCCGUACGGGGUCGAGUUCCGGAGCGGGAGAGUUACAACCGCGGGCACUUCCUCCAGAAGGCCAAGACGUGUCCAGCACAAAGUUGCGGUACUGGCACCUGGAUCCCCGACUACACCGCACGGACGCCUGAUAAUAAAAGAGACCGAUUCUUGUCCUCGGCAUCGGAGGUAAACAUUUCCUUCUUCUUUUGGGUGGGAAAAUCCACCAUUUUCUUUCCCUCCCACUUUUCGUGCAGUCCUGACCUAGCGCUGUCAGGAUCUGCGUGUUUGCAGCGGUACGGAUAACCCUUCACUGCUUGUGCCGUGUGAUGUUGUAUGUGCGGAAAUAAAUUGAAAAGUGAAGGUUCGUUCAAGAACUGUGACCAACGGUUACACUAUCCACCACCCCGGCGAAAAAAAUGUGAAAGCACGACGAGGUUUCGCAUUUUUUUACAACAAUGCUUUGCAUCACCAUCGUCGGCAUCUACUAGAUUCGUGGGUGUGGACAAUUCAACCUACAAUUCUCAGGUACAUUACUGCUACAACGCGCGAGAUAAUGAACCUUCACAAAACAACUCAAAUAAUAAAUAAUACAAACAAAAACAUUCAAUAUUUACAAAAUUUACACCAAAUUAAAAUAAAUAAGUUAACAUAAAUCAUGCAAAAACAAAUUAAAAUAAUUAUUAAAAAUCAUCCCGAAUUAUGGGUAGACAACUCUAUAGUUAUGUUGCGCAACAAAAUAAUUAUGUACAGAAUUUACAAGUUUGGAUCUCUUUCGAUCUCCAAGGGGUGAUUCAACCUCAAGUGAAGCCCCUGCAGCAAACUGUCUCUGCAGUUGACAGAUGCCAAAACGUCCACACUGACACGUCGCCGAGCUGUCAGAGCAUAACGCAAUGUUUACAACUGAAAAAUCCAAGGGGAUGAAGUAAGAAGAAGAUUCACAAUUCCGCAUACUUUAUUGCAAGAUGCUUUAGGUAAACAUCGAAAAUUUGGUUGAAAUUUUGAAUAAACAAAAAGUGCUAUAAAUCUUUUUAUUUUAUCUGUUUUCGAUAAGAAGCCGAUUAAUUGAAUCAUUUUAUAGGCGAUAGACUAUUAUUCUUAGCUCAAAAAUAGUUUUUUUGUUGAAAAAAUAUUUUUGUUGCAAAAUUGUCUUGCCUAAUUUGUGUUCACCAAUAUCAGUGUCUUGAGUUUGUUUAUCUUUUGCUCUUUGGUCUGACAGGGGGAUUGGCAGCCAAACCCGCUUUGGUCUGACAGUUUUGGUCUGUCAGCUUUAUGCUGGAUUUUGGUCUGACAACGCGGGGGAUUGGCAGCCACACCCCCUUGGAAAAAUCAGCUCGGUCGACUGAAUCAAGUGCGCGAUCGUUUUACGUCGUUUUCGGUGUGUUUUUGACGAUGUUUCGUCCGAUAUGUUCAGCUCACAGUGAGCCUGAAAAGUGGUGGUGUUUUGCUGCUAGGUUCUGAAUCUUCCCGAGGAAGAUCAGCCUGCACAAACCCACAAAUUAACCCGGGAUGAACCAUGGUUUGCCAUCUUGACACAGCAAGAUGAGCACCAGGCUUGGCACUUCUGGCCGGUAUUUUGGUUGGCAGAGUCCCCUCACUGCCGCUCCACAGUCGACGCUCGGACGCAAGGGCACUACGGAUAACCCCUUGGUCGUCUCGUCGGACUGCCAGCGCAGCUAUGGACCUCCAACAUAAGCAUAAAGGUGUUUAGUAACGACUAACCUCCUCCGCAGAUGCUCAUCGGGUCUUCGGGUCGAACCGACAGCGAGUUCCGAGGGAAACCAAUGUUUAACCCCUCACCAACUGCUGCGGUUAACCGACCCUCAGUCGAUCCACACCAUUAGAGUUAGUCAGUGUUACUAAACUCUGUAUUAAUACUGAAUAAAGAUUCAUUUUCUUUUAAACCAACCUCUUUAGGAUUGGGAAAUCCGGAAAUCUCAAAAUUAAUCCGAAAUCGACUCCAAAACCAUUCAGUUCUGAAAAUGUUUCAACUUUUCCGUGGGUUUUCCACUGAUUAAAUAUCACAGUAAUUAAAAUAUUCCUAGUUAUCACAGAUUAUCGUGGGUUCAUUAUUCAAUUAUAAUUUCCUAAUUUCAUUUUGCAAGAUCUCUCCAGGGGAAUCGUCUUCUUGUCUGGAUCAAACGAUCUGCAUGUGUCGGUCAUAAACCGGCUAAAUUAUUUUCGGGACCGGUGCCCGAAAUAAACACAACAAUUGUUCUGCUGGCCAGGGUCGACGGGACUCGGCCUCUCAGAUAGCACAUUACCAUCUGAGACGUCCACGUCACACUCCUGUGUGUGCCAUUCCACUUUCGCAAGUUUCGUCUAUUCUUGUUCUUUUUCUUUGUCAUUGUGUGUGUCGUCGAUCAGCGCGAAGCUUGAUCGUAAAGCAAUAAAGGUCAAUUUGGUGGUGGGAUAUUGUGUUGUGUGUUGAUCGUUUAUUUAUCACAGCGGAGUAUGUGUAGGUUCAAAAUCUAUGUUAAUUAUGUUUCAAUGUUUCAAAUCGGUUUCCGAACAACACAAUUUGCCCAAAUCCACGAAUUUUUCAACGCGAAAAACGGCAAUGCAAAGCAUUGGAGUAAGUCGCGAGAACUCUCAGACGAUUUAAGUCCACAAGGGACACUAACACAAAUUCUUGGCCGGGGCAGGGAAGUGUGCAGGUGAUAGAAAGCCGUGCUAACACGGAUCCCUGCCACCUCCCGAAGGAAAAAUCCUUAGAUUUUUAUCCAGCCGGUCAAACUUGAUCGCUUUUCGUGUGCUUUCCGCUAGGAAGCCAAUUGAAACUAAUGGCUUGAUCAGUUGUCAAGGAGGGCUAACUCAUUCCAUUUUUUCAGGGCAGAGACCAUUUAUUAAAAGGUAGUCGUAGACCUGAGCUACUGACUACUCAUCAUCUCAGGGUCGGCAUUACUACUAAGCGAUUCAAGAGAGACUCGGAAAGGAAAUAAAAAUCAAGAACCACACUUUUCAACUUCAAAUCAUGUAUUUUUCUGUAUCGUGUAAAGUGUGUGUGUGUUUUUGGGGAGAGCACUUCAGGGACUAAACGUACCGUUUUUACCAGCAGCAGUUCUCCGGGAUUGAACGCCUUCGGCGUUCUCCUCUGCGUUGGCCGGUCACAGGAGCGCCCUCGACUGUGCCGCCGGAAGUCCCGUGGGGGGGGGGGGUCGUCGUUGCAGCCGAAUAACGGUUGACGGCUGUUGUUGUUGCUGCGCUGGAAACCGCGAGGCAAGGUCGAGCGGGCGUUGCCGAUCCUUCCUGCGGCAGGCGUCUUCCCUCGUUGUCGGAAUCGGCGGACCUGGCUACUGCCAAUCCGGUCGCGCCGAGAGGGGGAAUCUCCUUUGCGUUUAUGGCGCCGCGCGCCAGAGAUUGUCGUGGUCCUUGACGGGAAACGUAGCCAAUGGCACUCUGCACUUACAGGGCUAGGUUGACCAAACCCGUACGGGGUCGAGUUCCGGAGCGGGAGAGUUACAACCGCGGGCACUUCCUCCAGAAGGCCAAGACGUGUCCAGCACAAAGUUGCGGUACUGGCACCUGGAUCCCCGACUACACCGCACGGACGCCUGAUAAUAAAAGAGACCGAUUCUUGUCCUCGGCAUCGGAGGUAAACAUUUCCUUCUUCUUUUGGGUGGGAAAAUCCACCAUUUUCUUUCCCUCCCACUUUUCGUGCAGUCCUGACCUAGCGCUGUCAGGAUCUGCGUGUUUGCAGCGGUACGGAUAACCCUUCACUGCUUGUGUCGUGUAGUGUUGUAUGAACGGGAAAUAAAUUGAAAAGUGAAGGUUCGUUCAAGAACUGUGACCAACGGUUACAAAUUCCCGGGAAAUUUUUUCCCGGGACGGGAAAUUGGACGCUCUAAAUUAGACUCGUUAAAAAUUGAAAAAUCCCAUAGAGGCGGCGUGUAUUUUUCUUUCAGUGUAUUUUUCAGAAAGCCCGUCCAAUUUCCUACAAGUUUGUAUUUGACCACUUUUUGUUACGAUGCAACGCAUUCGAGAUACAGUCAUUUUUAAAAUACAGAAUACAAAAAUAUCUAAAUAAAUUACUCCCUUCUCAAAUGUCAUUUUCGAGUACAAUUGGCUCCAUAUACACACAAAUGGCUUAUAUAGGCAAAGUUACAUUGAAAUCGGAGAGGGUCGGGUACAAAAGUAGCAGAAAAAUUUCUGAUUUGAGAUGGAAUUGCUCUACAGCUUAUCUUGUGUUUUACAGUUACUAGCCAAAAUUAUUUCGAAAUACAGUAAGAAUUUGACUGAUUGAAUUCACUCCAUUUCUAAUUCUAUUCAUUCUAUUCAAUUCUACAGUACAUGCAAAAACAAAAUCACCGAAGCUGAUUGUACAUUUCGCUUUGGGGAAAACAAACAGUUUUGGCUAGUAUCUGUUUCCGGAAUAAUCUUGUUUUUCAUUCUGCCUUUUACAGAUUUUAUUGUUUUUUGUGCAAGCAUAAAAUUUGCCAACGCUUUACGAAAAAUCAGCAUGUUUUUGUCAUCAUUUCCGAUUAAUAUCUAAUCAACCUACCAUCAAUUCCAUUUU